rnacentral:tRNA from 1 species
GCCCCCAUAGCUCAGUGGAUAGAGCGCUAGCCUCCGGAGCUAGAGACUCAGGUUCGAGUCCUGAUGGGGGUA